rnacentral:lncRNA from 1 species
GUUGAAGAGCUCCUGAUCGGAGUGCAGAAGUCCCUUCUUGCUAACAAGGUUCUUGUAGUAGUUGUUCUCAAAGACGGUCGGGGUUUGAAGGUCCAGAGGUGCCAAGUUGUUGUCACCUGUACCUGAGGUGCUAGGGCAGCCUGAUUGCCUAGUCCCUGCUAAGGCGCCAUCGAUGUUGGUUUCAUUGUAUACGUGGGCUCUGAAGUUGGUGCAACGUGCUAGGCCUAUGGUGUGAGCACCUGCCAAAAUCAAGAGGCCGAUCAAGAUUCCAAGUAGGUUAUGAUAUUAAUCUAGCUAGUAUAUCAAAAGAAUGGAAGAAAUGAAUGAUUGACCUAUUUUUACUUAUUCUGCAAAAUAAAUUGCUCGCUAUACAUAAUCAUAUUACAAGUUUAUAACAUUUUUUUUUGAAACAGGUGGUUGUUGUUGAUUCUGUAAAUAUAUAAGAGACAAAAGAGUAUUCGAUUCUAGUUAUGAAGCGACAUAAAAAAAGGAACAAUUUGUGUGGUUGCAGUUAACUAGCUAGCUACGAUGAUGGACUUUAUGCUUGCCUUCAGUAUAGCAUCGAAUUGACAUAUCCGAUGGUUGAUUGAUCAUCUUUCAACUUUCUUUUAUAACAUGCAAAAAGCAUAAGCUUGUACACACAACUUUCUUUUUCUUCCAGAUGAAACCCGUACCGGCCGACAGCAUCUGUGGCAUCGUCGUUGUCACCUUUUACAAACUUUAUUAUGUCAUUCCGUCCAUACCUAAACUAACUAGAUCUCGUGCUAGACGUGUUAUAUGUUAGUAACCGACAGUUAAUUAAGCUUCAUCUGGUCAAUUCACCAACAGGCCAGGUAAAUGAUCCUGUGUCACGGACUCACGGAUUGAUAUACAAGUAUAUGACGACGGUUAAAGUCAAAACUGAGCUAUCGAUUCCGUUGGCGAUUUAUCUAAUCUCUAAAGCUAUCUUUGUUGAAAAGCAAAGUGUGGAGUUUUCUUUAUUUUCUCAUUCUACAGUUGAUAUCCAAAAAGAUGCCAUCCAUAGUUGAAGUUGAACAUGUCUAAGUAGGAAUUUGUGCAAGAGUUUAGCCUGACGACGUACCAGAGAGCGCGACCAUGUCCUUUUGGGAGAGUCCCUGCGCGGCGAAGAGGGAUGUCAGGUUGGCGAGGCCCGACGUCGGCGGUGGGAUGCUGUUGUUGGCUCCACUGAAGCUCGCCGUCGUCGAGUCCCUCCUCCCAACCUUGACGUUCCAGUUCGGCCCGCCAAGCUGCAUGUGCGAUCAGUUGAGAUGGAGUUGCGACAUGCAUGUUGUUACUGCCAAUCAAGUUCAUCAUCAGCUAGCUUCACACUUACGAUGACGACGCUGUCCCUCGCCGCGAUGGCGAGGAUGUCGGCGCAGGAGACGACGCCGGGGCAGACCUUCUCGACGGCGGACUUGAUGGCAUCGAUGACCUCGAAGCCUCUCACGGAGCCGUUGUUUGGCGUCGCCAUCUUCUCACCCUGGAAGCUGGGCGUGUCAUCCAGCAGCAGCGACCCGUCGCAACCCUGACACGCAGUUGUAGGUCAUCAAGUUGAUCAGCUAGUAAGUAAGUUUGAGUGAUCAGUACUAAUUCAUCAUGAUAUCAGUAGAAGUACUUGGACGAAGCAGUCGUGGAAGAAGAGGCGAACGAUGGAGGCGCCCAUGCGCUUCUCCUUGUCGAUGGCGGACUGCACCACCGACUUGACGGCGCUGUACACGCCGGGGCAGGAGCUGGAGUAGAAGCCGGUGGACAGCUGCGCCGACGAGGUGCCGGCCAGCGCCAGGAGCAACAGUACGAAAGCGAUGCCGCCGCCGCUGCAUCUUGCAGCCAUGGUGCUCGAUCGUCUGACUGGGUGUGAGCUGCUAGCAAGAUAUGCAGGGAGAGCAGAGUGCGUGCUUGUGUCCUGCCU